rnacentral:rRNA from 1 species
UACGUAGGGUGCGAGCGUUGUCCGGAAUUAUUGGGCGUAAAGGGCUCGUAGGCGGUUUGGUGCGUCAGGAGUGAAAACUCGGGGCUUAACCCCGAGCCUGCUUCUGAUACGGGCAGACUAGAGGUAUGCAGGGGAGAACGGAAUUCCUGGUGUAGCGGUGAAAUGCGCAGAUAUCAGGAGGAACACCGGUGGCGAAGGCGGUUCUCUGGGCAUUACCUGACGCUGAGGCGCGAAAGUGUGGGGAGCGAACAGG